UCCAGUGAAGAUAUGUUCCAUGUUGGUUGAGGUGUAGUGGAGCUAAGUCCCUGUAUUUGCAGGGAGAACCUACUUGGUGAACCUACAUUUUGCAUGAUAUUAUCGGAUCUUACUGAGGA